rnacentral:lncRNA from 1 species
AUAUUUCCGUAGCAAAAAAACACUUGAUUAACUAUCAAGAUUUUCAAAAAUGAAUUUCAAAACCAUUCAAAAACCUUUUUAGCAAAUUCAAUCCUUUUUUUUCAAAAUAACACGAAUCAAAAUGCUUGAUCUUUUCAAGCUCUUUUCAAAACUUUAUCAUUUUAAAAACUUUUUCACAAUAAAUAAUCGGAUAAAAAAAGGACUAGUUGAACGUAUUUGUCCCUAUUAGUCUCCGAGUAUUGGGAUAAUGGUCGUGCUUAGUCCACCGCUUGAAUACUCAUCUUCAGUUUUAAUAUACAUUUAAAUAAUCGAAUUUAGUUCAUUCUUUCACGGAUAAAAAAGAUUAGUUGGAUGCACUUGUUCAUCCUAGUCCCGAUUAGUUAUGUGAUGGGCGUACUUAGUCUCCCGUACAAACACUCAUUAUUCGUUAAAGAAAUGUGACCUACUUUGACUAACGAAUUUUAUAAAGAACGUGGACAUAAAAUGAUUAGUUGGAUGUACUUGUCCCUCUUAAUCUCCGAGUAUUUGGAUGAUAUACGUACUUAGCCUCUCGUUUGAGAGUUUGUCAUCCUCCUAAUAGAAACUCAACCUAUCAAAUCUUUUCCUUCUUAGCGCAAUGUCAAACCCAUUUACAAACGAAAGAUGCUUCGUCCAUUCUGAGAUGAUGCAAACAAAGCUUCAAUCCUACCAUGCACAAGAAGUAAGAACGCUUUUCACUCGAAUGCGAUGAAAACAUAACUAUGUGAGAUUCCAAUUUCUGUUGUCCAUUCUGAUGCAACACCAAUGUUCACUUCUCCGUGUUUUGGGUAGUAAUCAAUAUUUUUUGCUCGAAUGUGAACUAACCAUCCUUCGCUAAAAUUGAUUAACCCAUAAACAUUUUUUUACCCAAAACCAUGUAGUAUUGAUUUCCUCAUCGCACCUGAGGAUACAUAGGAGGGAGAUUCAAUGUCUCGUCAAGCACCACAAUAAUAAAAAAAAUCCAAAAAUAUAUUUUUCAUGCCAAGAACUACGUAGCUUUGAAAGGUCUCGAGAAGGAUGUGGUUGUUGCUCGGUUGAAUUCUCACAAAUCCCUUCAACAGGCUAUAGAAGUUGUGUGCAGGGUCUAAGAUGAAAUGUUGGAGCAGGCGCGAGGGGUUUGUCCCGACCUUUCGGUUACCGCUGACUAGCUUAAUCCUUUAGCAUAUGCUAUUGUAAAGGAUAUUGAAAGUGGUCCUAGAGCUUCAGAUUCGGAUGUCAAUGUAUGAAAGCCUUUUUGUUCUUCUUUCUUUGUUUUAUCUGCUCUUGUAAGAUUUGGUUGGGACUUCGUGCCUUGGUUUGUAAACAAUAUAUUUAUAUAUGUAUUUCAUUUAUUACCUUUAGUAUGCUUGUGUUUUUUGUUAUAGUAUUGCUCCUUAUUCAACUGUUAUUAUUGUCUGGCUGGGAUCCAAGGAGAACUAGGAUCCGAGGAGAGCCAAACUUGCUUGGGAAUCCUGUAGUUUGCAUAAUUUGUUUAUUAUAGAGAGUAGUAAAUGAUUUUUUCUUAAAGUGUAAAUUAUCUUAAGUCUUUGUGAGGUCGUGUAUGACUAUUUCUUUUCAGAGUGUGAUGCGCUAAGGAGUUCACAUUUUCUUGAUAUAAUAUCGAGGUAGUAGGGCGUAGCUAUACUCAGAAUGUGCUUGCGUAAAGGAAGCAUUGUCCCUUUUUUUAGAAAGUUUGAAAAAAGGAGUUUAAGUAUGUUUAAUUAUUUUAGGAUUUAUUGAGAAAAAAAGAUUUUCUGGAUCACUUGGCAAAGUCAAGGUUUAUUAAGAAAAGAUAUGAAGUUUGAAAACAAGAGGUUUUUAGAAAUAGGGAGAAGUUUUAAAAAUUGAAGAAGUGGGAAGGAAAUGAAGAGACUAUCUUAGAGCAUAAAAUAAAUGACAUGAAAUAAAAUGUCUCAUCAUAAGGUAGCCCAAGAGAAAGCAUUUGCGUGUGCAAGUGUACUAACCACAAGAUGGAGCAAGCAUUUAACAUUAGUCAAAACAAGCAUUCCUUUCCCUUUGGAUUGAGCCACAAGAUGUAAAAGCACAUAAGCAAAUGAAUAUCAAAAGAUCUAGAUGAAUAACAAAGCCACAAACCCACAAGGAAACAUCCAAGUCUUGAAUUGAAGAUCAAAGGGUCCAUAGGGAUCACAAAGUCUUAGAUACCACUCAAAGCAAGGGAAAACACUAAGUCUUAAGGUCCAAAUUUCGAAAUACUCCUCAAGCAAGGGAUAUUAACAGAAAGUCCAUAGGAUCAGAUUAAAGCUUUUUAGGGUUUUAGCCAUUUUAUCAUUUUUUGUUCUUUUGAAAUAAGAAAGCAAAAAAGGGAAAAAAAGUAAAAGGGAAGAAUGCAAAUUACAUGAAUGUAAAUCAUAUAAAUGUAAAGAGCAUAAAUGUAAAGUUAGGUGUUAGCACAAUUAAUAUGUUAAUGUUAGUGUUAAUAAAUUCAACUGAGUCAGGACAAUUUAGCGCUAUGUUAAGCAAUUGUAAGUGGACUUAUGUAGAAGUCACACCUAUCUGAGACCGGUCAAUAACAAUUUAUGUGUCAAACAUGUUAGAGAAAUGAUACAAAAUCAUUCUCCUAAAAUAAUAUAGUACAAUAGCUAAAAACAAAAGAAAAAGAGAGAUGGAGAUGAGGAGAGACUGGAAAACAAGCUCAAGUCAUCACAAGGGAUUGGUUAUCAUCAAGUCCAAAAGUCCAAAAUAUGAAACACCAAGGGAUGAACCUAUCAUUAGUCCAAAGUGUCAAAAAUGAUCAAAUGGUCAUUUAAAAAACAUGUUUGAAAUGAUGAAGGUUCAACUUAACCAAGGGUCAUCUAUACAAUAAUUAGAAGUGAUGAAGUAUUAAUCAACCAAGUAACUUCUCAAGUCAAACAUAAGUCAAACAAAACUGAAUUAAAUGGCAACUUAAAAUGAUUUUUAAUGGAAAAUAAAGAGAAAAUUCAAAUCAAACACCAAAAAAUAAAAUAAAUGAUUGAGAAAAUUA